rnacentral:rRNA from 1 species
GAUGAACGCUGGCGGCGUGCCUAAUACAUGCAAGUCGAGCGAACAGAUGAGGAGCUUGCUCCUCUGACGUUAGCGGCGGACGGGUGAGUAACACGUGGAUAACCUACCUAUAAGACUGGGAUAACAUCGGGAAACCGGAGCUAAUACCGGAUAAUAUAUUGAACCGCAUGGUUCAAUAGUGAAAGACGGUUUUGCUGUCACUUAUAGAUGGAUCCGCGCCGCAUUAGCUAGUUGGUAAGGUAACGGCUUACCAAGGCAACGAUGCGUAGCCGACCUGAGAGGGUGAUCGGCCACACUGGAACGGAGACACGGUCCAGACGCCUACGGGAGGCAGCAGUAGGGAAUCUUCCGCAAUGGGCGAAAGCCUGACGGAGCAACGCCGCGUGAGUGAUGAAGGUCUUCGGAUCGUAAAACUCUGUUAUUAGGGAAGAACAAAUGUGUAAGUAACUAUGCACGUCUUGACGGUACCUAAUCAGAAAGCCACGGCUAACUACGUG